CCUGCUGCCCAUAUAUAAUGAUUCCUGCUCGACUGUUGCUCCUUUGGAAAGAGGCCUGCUACACCUGGAAGAACACAUAUUUUUAGUUCAGAAAUUUAAAAUGUGGGAAAGAAGAGCACAAGAAGAGACAGUUUUCUGGCAAAAGUUCAAAAAGGGGACUUCCAGAUGAUCAACUUUCUCGGAUGCCAGCAUAUAUCAUAACGGAAGGUUUUGACCUCCCAGGUCACAAACAUAAAAAUCCCAAGGCAUCACAUUUAGCCAUGAUGCUGACUGGAAAGGCUCCAACAA